ACGCGAGCUGGGUUCAGAACGUCGUGAGACAGUUCGGUCCCUAUCCGUCGCAGGCGUAGGAAAUUUGAGAAGACCUGUCCUUAGUACGAGAGGACCGGGAUGGACGUACCUCUGGUGUACCAGUUGUCCUGCCAAGGGCAUGGCUGGGUAGCUAUGUACGGAAUGGAUAAGCGCUGAAAGCAUCUAAGCGCGAAGCCAACUUCAAGAUAAGAUUUCCCACCGCAAGGGGUAAGACCCCAGAAAGACUAUCUGGUUGAUAGGUCGAAGGUGUAAGUGCAGCAAUGUAUUUAGCUUAUCGAUACUAAUAGGUCGAGGACUUGACCAAU
rnacentral:rRNA from 1 species